AACGAACGCUGGCGGCAUGCCUAACACAUGCAAGUCGAACGAAGGCUUCGGCCUUAGUGGCGCACGGGUGAGUAACGCGUGGGAAACUGCCUAUUGGUGGGGAAUAACGACGGGAAACUGUCGCUAAUACCGCAUAAGCCCUUCGGGGGAAAGAUUUAUCGCCGAUAGAUGUGCCCGCGUCCGAUUAGCUAGUUGGUGAGGUAAUGGCUCACCAAGGCGACGAUCGGUAGCUGGUCUGAGAGGAUGAUCAGCCACACUGGGACUGAGACACGGCCCAGACUCCUACGGGAGGCAGCAGUGGGGAAUAUUGGACAAUGGGCGAAGGCCUGAUCCAGCAAUGCCGCGUGAGUGAUGAAGGCCUUAGGGUUGUAAAGCUCUUUCGGGUGGGACGAUGAUGACGGUACCACCAGAAGAAGCCCCGGCUAACUUCGUGCCAGCCGCCGCAGUAA
rnacentral:rRNA from 1 species